AUUGAACGCUGGCGGCAGGCCUAACACAUGCAAGUCGAGCGAGCGGCGGACGGGUGAGUAAUGUAUGGGGACUGCCCGAUAGAGGGGGAUAACUGCUGGAAACGGUAGCUAAUACCGCAUACUAUCGGAUAACCCAUAUGGGAUUAGCUAGUAGGUGAGGUAAUGGCUCACCUAGGCGACGAUCCCUAGCUGGUAUGAGAGGAUGAUCACCCACACUGGGACUGGGACACGGCCCAGACUCCUACGGAGGCAGCAGUGGGGAAUAUUGCACAAUGGGCGCAAGCCUGAAGCAGCCAGCCCGCGUGUAUGAUGAAGGCCUUCGGUUUGUAAAGUACUUUUGGCAGAGAAGCGGUAUCUGCAGAAGAAGCACCGGCGAACUACGUGCCAGCAGCGCGGUAAUAC
rnacentral:rRNA from 1 species